rnacentral:rRNA from 1 species
GACGAACGCUGGCGGCGUGCCUAAUACAUGCAAGUCGAACGAGAGCGACCGGUGCUUGCACUGGUCAAUCUAGUGGCGAACGGGUGAGUAACACGUGGGUAACCUGCCCAUCAGAGGGGGAUAACAUCCGGAAACGGAUGCUAAAACCGCAUAGGUCUUCGAACCGCAUGGUUUGAAGAGGAAAAGAGGCGCAAGCUUCUGCUGAUGGAUGGACCCGCGGUGCAUUAGCUAGUUGGUGAGGUAACGACUCACCAAGGCCGUGAUCCAUAGCCGACCUGAGGGGGUGAUCGGCCACAUUGGGACUGCGACACGGCCCAAACUCCUACGGGAGGCAGCAGUAGGGAAUCUUCCGCAAUGGACGCAAGUCUGACGGAGCAACGCCGCGUGAGUGAAGAAGGUUUUCGGAUCGUAAAACUCUGUUGUUAGAGAAGAACAAGUGCUAGAGUAACUGUUAGCGCCUUGACGGUAUCUAACCAGAAAGCCACGGCUAACUACGCG